rnacentral:lncRNA from 1 species
UGGGAACCUUCCUUUAUAUGCGAAGUUUGCACGUACUUUAAACUUUUUGGUACAGGUUUCUGUGCCUUUCUAUCUUUUAAAACAUGGCAAAUAACUGUUGAAAGUAAUUAAAUCUCAAGUACUUGCAAUACCCUACAAGAUUCAGAUCACCCUGUCAUCUUGCUUGGCAUUGCCUUCCCAUGGCGAAAUAAAUGCAAAUGCAAAUGCAAAGACUAUGAACUUCAGAGUUAUCUCUUCCCAAUCUUUCAAAAAAAAAAAAAAAACCUUCUACGAUCCAAUCAUCUUUCCUCCAUCUUGACCAAUCGACAAUUUCUUAUGAUUCCUCU